rnacentral:rRNA from 1 species
CUUGGCUCGUGCAUCGAUGAGGAUCCCCCCAGGUGCGAUAAGUAGUGUGAAUUGCAGAAUUCAGUGAAUCAUCGAAUCUUUGAACGCAAAUCGCGCUCUUGGGUUUUCCCAGGAGCAUGUCUGUCUGAGUGUCG